CCUCAUUACACUUUGGUUCAAGUCCCAAACUGUGUUAAGCCGCCUCUGUUUCAGUGUCGGACCUUUCUGGUUUUUUCAUUGAUGGAAAUAGUGGACUACAAGCUAUUAUGUGCUUGAAGACACAAGCGUUAAGUGCACCAUGUGGAACAGUUGGGCAAUGAAAAAUAGCAGACUCAUAUUUCUCAAAUUGUUUUCUUUGAGAAAGAGCAGCACGGAACCAUGGAGGUCAAAUUUUAUUAGCUUGGGGUGGCUGUUAAAGAAAUCAACAAAAUCAAACUGGAAAAGGCUGAAGGGCGUUAGGAUCCCCUUUGAGUUCCACCUUUAUAAAGAGAUGCUUGACUUCACUUGCCAACUUAGGCAUUUUGUUUAUGGCAUCCUAACACCAUUGAACAACUGUCAUCUCGAAUGACUCAAGUGCCACAAGCUUUCAGAGUCUACUAUUUACCUGUCCUACAAUAGGAAGUUGGUUAUUUGUGAUACUAUUUGCAAGUAAUACACAAAAAUAGUAUUAUAAUGAACAACUGAUAUUGUCCUACUGUGCACAAGAUGUAAACAGAAGACUAUUGGUUAUGAUUAUAUGUAUUUUCAUUUC